CCACUGACCCCCCAGAAUACAACUACCUGUACCUGCUCCCUGCCGGCACCUUUGUUGGUGGAUAUUUAGCUGCCCUCUACAGUGGUUAUAACAUUGAACAGAUCAUGUACCUAGGCUCGGGUUUGUGCUGUGUCGGUGCCUUGGCUGGCCUCUCCACCCAGGGAACAGCACGUCUUGGCAAUGCACUGGGCAUGAUUGGGGUUGCUGGAGGACUGGCAGCCACCCUCGGAGUCCUAAAACCGGGCCCAGAAUUACUAGCUCAGAUGUCUGGAGCGAUGGCUUUGGGUGGUACCAUUGGUAAGCACUUGUGGGCUUCUGCCUUCAUGUGAACUCCAGUUUCUCAAUAUAUAUUUCUAAGGUCCAUAUUGAUGAAAUAAUUAAAUUUUGUUCAUGGAAGUUGCUUCAGUUAAUAUUAUUUUGGUGAAAAUUCAUUCCAGUUGGUGUAAUUCUCAUUCAAAUACAUUUUAGAACACUGAAUAAAUGCAUCAACUGAGUCAAAAUAUCCUAUACUCAAUUCUUAUCUUCCUUUACUGACUGUGUCCCGUUAGCUGAUAAUGGAAUGGGGGAUUGGAAUCCUUAUGUAUGUACUAUACAUAAGCUAACUUUUGUUCUGCUGGGUAUAAAUAACAGCCAAAGAUUCUGCUUCAUAGACCUGUUAAAAAUG
rnacentral:lncRNA from 10 species